rnacentral:rRNA from 1 species
UACGUAGGGGGCAAGCGUUACUCGGAAUCACUGGGCGUAAAGAGCGCGUAGGCGGGAUAGCAAGUCAGAUGUGAAAUCCUAUGGCUUAACCAUAGAACUGCAUUUGAAACUGUUAUUCUAGAGUAUGGGAGAGGUAGGUGGAAUUCUUGGUGUAGGGGUAAAAUCCGUAGAGAUCAUACAGAACACCGAUUGCGAAGGCAGCUUACCAAGCUACUUCUGACGUUGAGGCACGAAAGCGUGGGUAUCGAACAGG